AAAAACUUUUAUCCGAGAAUUCGUUUCGUUUUUUCCGGAUUAUUUGUAUUCAAAUCCCACUCUUUAUAAAUAUAUCAAUUAUAUAAAACAAAAAUAAAAAAAGA
rnacentral:misc_RNA from 1 species